rnacentral:rRNA from 1 species
GGGACACGUGGUAUCCUGUCUGAAUAUGGGGGGACCAUCCUCCAAGGCUAAAUACUCCUGACUGACCGAUAGUGAACCAGUACCGUGAGGGAAAGGCGAAAAGAACCCCGGCGAGGGGAGUGAAAAAGAACCUGAAACCGUGUACGUACAAGCAGUGGGAGCACGCUUAGGCGUGUGACUGCGUACCUUUUGUAUAAUGGGUCAGCGACUUAUAUUCUGUAGCAAGGUUAACCGAAUAGGGGAGCCGAAGGGAAACCGAGUCUUAACUGGGCGUUAAGUUGCAGGGUAUAGACCCGAAACCCGGUGAUCUAGCCAUGGGCAGGUUGAAGGUUGGGUAACACUAACUGGAGGACCGAACCGACUAAUGUUGAAAAAUUAGCGGAUGACUUGUGGCUGGGGGUGAAAGGCCAAUCAAACCGGGAGAUAGCUGGUUCUCCCCGAAAGCUAUUUAGGUAGCGCCUCGUGAAUUCAUCUCCGGGGGUAGAGCACUGUUUCGGCAAGGGGGUCAUCCCGACUUACCAACCCGAUGCAAACUGCGAAUACCGGAGAAUGUUAUCACGGGAGACACACGGCGGGUGCUAACGUCCGUCGUGAAGAGGGAAACAACCCAGACCGCCAGCUAAGGUCCCAAAGUCAUGGUUAAGUGGGAAACGAUGUGGGAAGGCCCAGACAGCCAGGAUGUUGGCUUAGAAGCAGCCAUCAUUUAAAGAAAGCGUAAUAGCUCACUGGUCGAGUCGGCCUGCGCGGAAGAUGUAACGGGGCUAAACCAUGCACCGAAGCUGCGGCAGCGACGCUUAUGCGUUGUUGGGUAGGGGAGCGUUCUGUAAGCCUGUGAAGGUGUACUGUGAGGUAUGCUGGAGGUAUCAGAAGUGCGAAUGCUGACAUAAGUAACGAUAAAGCGGGUGAAAAGCCCGCUCGCCGGAAGACCAAGGGUUCCUGUCCAACGUUAAUCGGGGCAGGGUGAGUCGACCCCUAAGGCGAGGCCGAAAGGCGUAGUCGAUGGGAAACAGGUUAAUAUUCCUGUACUUGGUGUUACUGCGAAGGGGGGACGGAGAAGGCUAUGUUGGCCGGGCGACGGUUGUCCCGGUUUAAGCGUGUAGGCUGGUUUUCCAGGCAAAUCCGGAAAAUCAAGGCUGAGGCGUGAUGACGAGGUACUACGGUGCUGAAGCAACAAAUGCCCUGCUUCCAGGAAAAGCCUCUAAGCAUCAGGUAACAUCAAAUCGUACCCCAAACCGACACAGGUGGUCAGGUAGAGAAUACCAAGGCGCUUGAGAGAACUCGGGUGAAGGAACUAGGCAAAAUGGUGCCGUAACUUCGGGAGAAGGCACGCUGAUAUGUAGGUGAAGUCCCUCGCGGAUGGAGCUGAAAUCAGUCGAAGAUACCAGCUGGCUGCAACUGUUUAUUAAAAACACAGCACUGUGCAAACACGAAAGUGGACGUAUACGGUGUGACGCCUGCCCGGUGCCGGAAGGUUAAUUGAUGGGGUCAGCGCAAGCGAAGCUCUUGAUCGAAGCCCCGGUAAACGGCGGCCGUAACUAUAACGGUCCUAAGGUAGCGAAAUUCCUUGUCGGGUAAGUUCCGACCUGCACGAAUGGCGUAAUGAUGGCCAGGCUGUCUCCACCCGAGACUCAGUGAAAUUGAACUCGCUGUGAAGAUGCAGUGUACCCGCGGCAAGACGGAAAGACCCCGUGAACCUUUACUAUAGCUUGACACUGAACAUUGAGCCUUGAUGUGUAGGAUAGGUGGGAGGCUUUGAAGUGUGGACGCCAGUCUGCAUGGAGCCGACCUUGAAAUACCACCCUUUAAUGUUUGAUGUUCUAACGU